rnacentral:rRNA from 1 species
UACGUAGGGGGCAAGCGUUGUCCGGAUUUAUUGGGCGUAAAGAGCGUGUAGGCGGCCAGACAGGUCAGCUGUGAAAACUCGAGGCUCAACCUCGAGACGUCGGUUGAAACCGUCUGGCUAGAGUCCGGAAGAGGAGAGUGGAAUUCCCGGUGUAGCGGUGAAAUGCGCAGAUAUCGGGAAGAACACCCGUGGCGAAGGCGGCUCUCUGGGACGGUACUGACGCUGAGGAGCGGAAAGCGUGGGGAGCCGAACAGGA